GCUCCAGUGGCUUAGUGGUUAGAGCGUCCGCCUCGGAUGAGGGAGGUCCUGUGUUCUAUCCUCGAUUGAGUCA